AUGUGCACGCCACAACCAACUGCUGGCCGCAUCCGGCUGAAUGUCGGCGGGCAGGUGUUCAAGACGACGGCUGACACACUCACAGGCGCAGGCGAGGGAACCAUGCUCGCCGCCAUGUUGGAACCCUGCUGGAACGCCGGCGCCACCGGGGGCGUGCCCGAGUACUUCAUCGACCGCAACCCGGCCUGCUUCGCCUUGCUCCUCAACAUGCUCCGCACGGGCGAGCUGCAUGUCCCGGCUGUCAUCCCGGAGCGGAUGCUCUUCCAAGAGGCGUCCUACUAUGGCCUCCUUGACCAUGUCCGCGCUGCUCGCAUCGGUGAGCUCAAUCUCGACAGGGCCAGUGGCUUGCCCGGCCGUCCGUGCGGCGCCAGACGGGGGUGUUGCGUCAAGCACAGCCCCAUCAUGCGGGUCUACAACUGGAUGCUCGAGGAGCGCCAGCCAGUCUGCCUCAUGCCUGUUGAGCCGGUCCGCGAUGCUGUCUACCUCAGCGACACCACGCUCCUCGUUGGGGGCCGCGGCAUGGCAGCUUUCUCUGUGCUCACCGGCGAUCUGAGUCACCACUUCCGCAUAGCGCACGAGGGCAAGAAGACGGCUCCGCUUUUUAACGCGAGGGCGCUGGCCUUUGACCAGCAAACAAACGUCUUUGCUAGCUGCAACAACUCGGGCAUAACUCAAGGAAUUGGCUACGGCAUCGGUGUUUGGGACUGCAUCACCGGCGAACAGACAAGCUCUUUCUUUGACCUGAAGUAUGUCGACGCUCUGACCGACGCCAGCAAGCUUCAGUGGCUGGCAAGCACCAACGCCCUCAUGGCUGUCAAGGCGUGCUCACCGAAAGAUGCUUUCUCGCCGUCUUCCAUCACUCUGGUGGAUUUCCGGGAUAUGAGUGUUGUGUGGUCAUGGUCUGCCGGCAGCCGGAGAUGGAACGAAAGGCGUGUUGCCGAUGCCGUCGUGAUGGAGGACGAGAGGUCGGUCCGCUUGAUCAGCCAGGACCAUGAUCUCGGGUUCCUCGACAUCCGUUCUCGGGGCUCUGUCCAGGAGCCGUGGACAUAUUGUAACACGACGACCCCGACGUGCUAUCCGAAGCUCGCCGUGCACGGCGGACUGCUCUUAGCGUCCAAGGAUGACAGCAUCUCGGUGUAUGGCGGCCCAAAUCAUGACCGCCUGAGGCUGGCGCUGCGUGGGAGCCAAGGCGGUGGCGCCAUUGCCGACUUCUCCGUUGGGGGCGACCGUCUCUUCGCGGUGCAUCAUGAGGACAACGUGCCGGAUGUGUGGGAGACACUGCCACCUCCCAUCGCCUAG
rnacentral:rRNA from 1 species